rnacentral:lncRNA from 1 species
UUCCACAUUCACACCCCAGGGACCUUUUCCACAGGCAGCACCCACAGACCUGGGAAGCCACGCAGUAUUGACCCGCAGAUCCGCAGACCACAUUGGGGCUCACACCCAGGGAAAGGGCAGGGCUGGUCAGCACACGCAGCCAACUGCCCCCGGGACGGCACCCACCGAGACCCGCCCAGGGCCCAGCACCCCACCCCACCCCACCCCACCCCCGUGCUCACUAACACGCGGGGAGACAGACGCGCAGCGGCUGCGGGUGAAGCUUCACAAAACCCAAUCGAUACACACACGCACGAGUUGUACACAAAGCCUCGGGGCGCGCACAUACGCACACGCAGGUCCACGCUGCUAGACCCAAAGUUCCGCGCAGAGAGCCGGCAGCCCGGCCGUCCGCCGCACCGCGCGCCCUUCGGCCCGCAGCCCACGCCCCCCGCUCCUGCCCUCGGCCCGGACCCCGCCCGGCAGCGCCAGGCCGGAGCGGGCCGGGCGGCGCCGGGAGCAGGGCGGGCAGGCGGCCCAGCGAGGCCCGGCCCCGCACCGACCGGCGUGCGCCCGGGUCCCCUCGCCGCGUGUCCUUCGGCCGGGCCGCGAGGUCAGGCGAGCUCCCCGCGCCGGCCCCCCGCGCCCGGGGCCCUCGGCCUCCCGCCAGCCCCCGCCGCCCCGUCCGCGUGCGUACCUGCGCCGGGCCUCCCUCCCCGGCUCUGCGCGCGGGAGGCUCCCCGCCCGGCCCUCCCGGGGCGCCCGCCCGCCGCCGGUGUCUCCGCUGCGGCGCAGCCCGGGCGCGCGCGGGCCCGGCCGCCGCCGCCUCGCCCUCCCCGGCCCCCGCCCCCUCCCCGGCCCGGCCCGGCCCGGCCCGGAGCCGCUGCCGAGGCGCACGUACCUGCUCGCGCCGCGCGGGGCUCUACGGCGGCGGCCGCUGGGGGCUCCGGGGAGGGAGGGGCGGGGGCGGGGGCGGGGGCCCGGGAGCUCCCGGUGCGACCGAUCGAGCUCCGCCCGCGGCCGGCGAGGGCGCCCGGAGAGUUCGCGCGGGGAGGCACCGGGAGGCGGCUGGCGGGGGAUCGGGCUCCGCGCCCUCCCCGGCCCCGGAGGGCUUAUCUGUUCGCCGGCGCCCCGGCUCGGGGAAUUGAAGCUCUGAGCCCGCGGGGCUGGGUGCAGGGGCGGGGCGCGGGGGUGGGUGCCGAGGGAGACCCCUCCCCCGCCGGCGGCCUCCCCCCAGCCCCUCGCGGGGGCGCUACUGCCGCGCGCAGCCGGGUCACCCCCCCCGCCCAGCUCGCACAGCCCCCGGGUGGGACCCGGGUCCUCUCCCAGGUCCUUGGGUCGGGACGGUCUUCCCAGGCGCGUGCGGCUCCGUGGCUCAAGGGCGCCACCUGA